CGGCCUGGAUUCCACUGCCUAGGCAGGAAGCUCAUCUCAGCCCAGUGACCGUCUCUCUGGAGUGAAAACACCCAGGAAAGGGUAAAUCCUGAAGCUACCAUUUCAACUCCAGCUCAGGACCAGACAGAAGGGCUGCCAUCUCACUUCUCAACCCAAGUGUCCUGACCACUAGGAACAACCUCUUCCUUGUUUCCGAGAAUCAGGCUAGUGUCAUGCAGAAUGGUCAAGCAGGAGGACAGGAGUACACGCUUCUCUUUACCCGAAGGAGGUGAUCAACUCUUCCACAGGAAGAGCUACAGCAUUUCACCCCCUAAAGGUCUAGCACGGAGGAGAUGCUCAGCAUUACUCAUCGGGCUGUGCCAAAUUAACCUGUUUGCGAUGGACCAAACUGUCUGUCUCCCUCUGGAUUCCCAAGGCUCUCAGCAGAAAAUGUAGGGGUUCCUGGCAUACCUACACUGUGAUUUGUAUCUGGCCUGUUAUGUGACUCAGGAGUUACAGAAAUAUCCUACGUGGUGACUAUAGGCAGUGCAAGGCCUCUGCCCAAACGUUGGACUGUCGGCUCUGAUGAUUCAAAUUAGCAACAGGUUAUAAAAUCUCCAUCACCCCAAAUUUGUCUUUAAUACCUCUUUAUUUGCCCCACCUUAGAUUUUCCUCAUCAAUCCCAAGAAAGAAAAGAGCUGCACCUCAGAAGAGUGCACCUCAGGGCCGGUCCUUACGGUGCGCGCCUCUCCCCAUAAUACACUCACACACAACACACACGCUCACCGGGUGCGGCAGGGCCAACCCCUGCCCAUCCUUCCUGUUUUGUUCAAUUUAAUCAAAUAGGAACUUGCACUUAGACAGCAAAUAAUGCUCAACAACAAUAACGACCCAUACUGAGCAUUAUUGGCUUAGUUUCUUUGGGAUUCAAAGUUACCAGAACAAGUCAGAUGAAACAGGGGGGCCUUGACAGAGGCUCAGUGACAGACAGUUGUGAUGAGGCCAUUGACAUGACUUUCACUGCAGGAUAGAGGAGAACCUGGGCUGGUGGCCUAGGGCCUGGAGCCGAUCACUCCCAAAUUCCUGGCUCUGGGAACAGCAUGAGACGGAUGCUGGAGCCUCCUUCCAACCUACCCAGCUUGACACCAUGGGGGUGCCUGGGGAAAUGGCAUGUACUUGCCAACUGAAGA